rnacentral:rRNA from 1 species
GACGAACGCGGGCGGCGUGCCUAAUACAUGCAAGUAGAACGCUGAAGAGAGGAGCUUGCUCUUCUUGGAAGAGUUGCGAACGGGUGAGUAACGCGUAGGUAACCUGCCUUGUAGCGGGGGAUAACUAUUGGAAACGAUAGCUAAUACCGCAUAACAAUGGAUGACACAUGUCAUUUAUUUGAAAGGGGCAACUGCUCCACUACAAGAUGGACCUGCGUUGUAUUAGCUAGUAGGUGAGGUAACGGCUCACCUAGGCGACGAUACAUAGCCGACCUGAGAGGGUGAUCGGCCACACUGGGACUGAGACACGGCCCAGACUCCUACGGGAGGCAGCAGUAGGGAAUCUUCGGCAAUGGGGGCAACCCUGACCGAGCAACGCCGCGUGAGUGAAGAAGGUUUUCGGAUCGUAAAGCUCUGUUGUAAGUCAAGAACGAGUGUGAGAGUGGAAAGUUCACACUGUGACGGUAGCUUACCAGAAAGGGACGGCUAACUACGUGCCAGCAGCCGCGGUAAUACGUAGGUCCCGAGCGUUGUCCGGAUUUAUUGGGCGUAAAGCGAGCGCAGGCAGUUUGAUAAGUCUGAAGUUAGAGGCUGUGGCUCAACCAUAGUUCGCUUUGGAAACUGUCAAACUUGAGUGCAGAAGGGGAGAGUGGAAUUCCAUGUGUAGCGGUGAAAUGCGUAGAUAUAUGGAGGAACACCGGUGGCGGAAGCGGCUCUCUGGUCUGUAACUGACGCUGAGGCUCGAAAGCGUGGGGAGCGAACAGG